UUGAAGUUUGAGGGAAGUUGUCCUUUGUACGAGAGGAUCAGGAUGAACGAACCUCUGGUCUACCGGCUUUACCACCAGGUGAAGCGCCGGGUAGCUAUGUUCGGCAGGGAUAAGCGCUGAAAGCAUCUAAGCGCGAAGCCCCUCCCAAGAUUAGACUUCGUUAUAGGUUCGUGGCAGAUUACCACGUUGAUAGGCCCAAGGUGUACGCACCGUAAGGUGUUUAGCCAAAGGGUACUAAUAAACCGA
rnacentral:ncRNA from 1 species